rnacentral:rRNA from 1 species
AAAUUGAAGAGUUUGAUCAUGGCUCAGAUUGAACGCUGGCGGCAGGCCUAACACAUGCAAGUCGAGCGGUAGCACAGAGAGCUUGCUCUCGGGUGACGAGCGGCGGACGGGUGAGUAAUGUCUGGGAAACUGCCUGAUGGAGGGGAUAACUACUGGAAACGGUAGCUAAUACCGCAUAACGUCGCAAGACCAAAGUGGGGGACCUUCGGGCCUCAUGCCAUCAGAUGUGCCCAGAUGGGAUUAGCUAGUAGGUGGGGUAACGGCUCACCUAGGCGACGAUCCCUAGCUGGUCUGAGAGGAUGACCAGCCACACUGGAACUGAGACACGGUCCAGACUCCUACGGGAGGCAGCAGUGGGGAAUAUUGCACAAUGGGCGCAAGCCUGAUGCAGCCAUGCCGCGUGUGUGAAGAAGGCCUUCGGGUUGUAAAGCACUUUCAGCGGGGAGGAAGGCGUUAAGGUUAAUAACCUUGGCGAUUGACGUUACCCGCAGAAGAAGCACCGGCUAACUCCGUGCCAGCAGCCGCGGUAAUACGGAGGGUGCAAGCGUUAAUCGGAAUUACUGGGCGUAAAGCGCACGCAGGCGGUCUGUCAAGUCGGAUGUGAAAUCCCCGGGCUCAACCUGGGAACUGCAUUCGAAACUGGCAGGCUAGAGUCUUGUAGAGGGGGGUAGAAUUCCAGGUGUAGCGGUGAAAUGCGUAGAGAUCUGGAGGAAUACCGGUGGCGAAGGCGGCCCCCUGGACAAAGACUGACGCUCAGGUGCGAAAGCGUGGGGAGCAAACAGGAUUAGAUACCCUGGUAGUCCACGCCGUAAACGAUGUCGAUUUGGAGGUUGUGCCCUUGAGGCGUGGCUUCCGGAGCUAACGCGUUAAAUCGACCGCCUGGGGAGUACGGCCGCAAGGUUAAAACUCAAAUGAAUUGACGGGGGCCCGCACAAGCGGUGGAGCAUGUGGUUUAAUUCGAUGCAACGCGAAGAACCUUACCUGGUCUUGACAUCCACAGAACUUUCCAGAGAUGGAUUGGUGCCUUCGGGAACUGUGAGACAGGUGCUGCAUGGCUGUCGUCAGCUCGUGUUGUGAAAUGUUGGGUUAAGUCCCGCAACGAGCGCAACCCUUAUCCUUUGUUGCCAGCGGUCCGGCCGGGAACUCAAAGGAGACUGCCAGUGAUAAACUGGAGGAAGGUGGGGAUGACGUCAAGUCAUCAUGGCCCUUACGACCAGGGCUACACACGUGCUACAAUGGCAUAUACAAAGAGAAGCGACCUCGCGAGAGCAAGCGGACCUCAUAAAGUAUGUCGUAGUCCGGAUUGGAGUCUGCAACUCGACUCCAUGAAGUCGGAAUCGCUAGUAAUCGUAGAUCAGAAUGCUACGGUGAAUACGUUCCCGGGCCUUGUACACACCGCCCGUCACACCAUGGGAGUGGGUUGCAAAAGAAGUAGGUAGCUUAACCUUCGGGAGGGCGCUUACCACUUUGUGAUUCAUGACUGGGGUGAAGUCGUAACAAGGUAACCGUAGGGGAACCUGCGGUUGGAUCACCUCCUUA